rnacentral:rRNA from 1 species
UCCUACGGGAGGCAGCAGUGGGGAAUAUUGCACAAUGGGGGAAACCCUGAUGCAGCGACAGCCGCGUGGAGGAAGAAGGUCUUCGGAUUGUAAACUCCUGUUGUUGAGGAAGAUAAUGACGGUACUCAACAAGGAAGUGACGGCUAACUACGUGC